GGAAAGGAAAGUGAGAUUCAUUUAUGCAUAUAAAGGCCACGAAUGGCCCAGAUACAACAGGGAUAGGGAUAAGGUCCACCCACAAACAAAACCUACAUAAGAAGGGCUACCUUCGCCAUCAUGCAAAAGAAAGAAGCUAAAACAAAAAUGACAGUGGAUAUCUGAGAUAAUUGGCUCAACAGAUGCAGAAGGACGGAUAUCAAAAGUCAGAUUCUUGGAGCCUAUAAUAUCUGGCUUUAAUGAUUGCAAAUCUCAGGGCAAGGGCUUUCAGGGUUAGAG
rnacentral:misc_RNA from 1 species